GGCUUCUCCUGGGUAUACGUUGCUCUGCUGUUGGCCUUACUCACCUUCAACUCCGUCAUGGCGGUGUACCCCUCCAUGGGCGAUGCGGCCAUUGUGGCCUUCGUCGCCACCUCCUAACUCGACCUGGUGCUGCUCUUCUGCUGCCUCUGGCUUUACGACAGAGCGGCGGCCGGGUCAGCGUGGCGGAACCGGCUCAAGGCGUCGGUGUGGACUCUCACCACGCUGCUCACCUUCUCCUUCGCCUACAUGGUCAUGGGCACGGCCGGCCUCACCCUCCACGUCGCGCUGCUCGUGUGGUUCAUCGCCGCGGCGACGGGGAUCGGUGCCUUCUCCGCCUUCUUUGAGCAGGGCAGGUAUGCCGUGGCGUCUUUACUUGUCUUCCAUGCACCAUGCAUGUCGAUGGAAUAG
rnacentral:rRNA from 1 species